rnacentral:rRNA from 1 species
GACGAACGCUGGCGGCGUGCUUAACACAUGCAAGUCGAACGGAAAGGCCCUGCUUUUGUGGGGUGCUCGAGUGGCGAACGGGUGAGUAACACGUGAGUAACCUGCCCUUGACUUUGGGAUAACUUCAGGAAACUGGGGCUAAUACCGGAUAGGAGCUCCUGCUGCAUGGUGGGGGCUGGAAAGUUUCGGCGGUUGGGGAUGGACUCGCGGCCUAUCAGCGUGUUGGUGGGGUAGUGGCUUACCGAGGCUUUGACGGGUAGCCGGCCUGAGAGGGUGACCGGCCACAUUGGGACUGAGAUACGGCCCAGACUCCUACGGGAGGCAGCAGUGGGGAAUAUUGCACAAUGGGCGGAGGCCUGAUGCAGCAACGCCGCGUGCGGGAUGACGGCCUUCGGGUUGUAAACCGCUUUCGCCUGUGACGAAGCGUGAGUGACGGUAAUGGGUAAAGAAGCACCGGCUAACUACGUG